AGGCGAGACCGCGAGGUGGAGCAAAUCUCAAAAAGCCGUCCCAGUUCGGAUCGCAGGCUGCAACCCGCCUGCGUGAAGUUGGAAUCGCUAGUAAUCGCGGAUCAGAAUGCCGCGGUGAAUACGUUCCCGGGUCUUGUACACACCGCCCGUCACACCAUGGGAGUCGGAAAUGCCCGAAGUCGGUGACCGAACCGAAAGGAAGGAGCCGCCGAAGGCAGGUCUGGUGACUGGGGUGAAGUCGUAACAAGGUACC
rnacentral:rRNA from 1 species